UUAUGACAAAAAAAAUCUCAUUUUUUAUGUGGAUUUAUGAUAUCAAUCAAACGAGAGAAAAAAAAUUCUUCCCGCACAAGACAUGCCUAAGAAGAUUAAAAAAUGUUACCCUGUUACACCAUGAAAACAUAACAACCAACCAACAAGAAAAAGAAAAGAUAAGCCAAGUUACAACACUUAGGCAAGGAAUGAGAUUAAGCCUCCAAACGUUGUAGUCAAAAUCGAACCGAUCAUAUUUCGAUUAAAACCACUAAAAUGGUGAUGCUUAAAUUUUUCGCCUAAAGAAUGAAACUGUUCCUCUUUAUGUUGAAAGAAAUACAAUUAUUUUUCAUCUUGAAUUUGUGUAUAGUAUUCACAAGCACCACAAACACAUUUUACAAACAUAAGAGGUAACGCCUCCGGACAAUCUUCGUCACUAAUACAUAGAGAGGAAGCUACAUAGACAAUUAAGAAAAAUGAAUAUACUACUCAAAUGUGAACAAAAAAUAAUGUUAUAAGAUAGAUUUGCAAAAUAGAAAAUGGUGUGAAAAAUGACAUACCUGCAACAAGCAAUUGAGAUAGAAAGAUGGUUAAAGCAUAAAAAAAU
rnacentral:lncRNA from 1 species